CCCCUUUCUCUGUCUGGAACUCUCGUUCUCCAGAUCUCUACCUGGCCCGUCCUUUGUCACUUCAGCCUCAGCUCAAAAGUGAACUAAAGCGGUCCUUAACCUUUCUUCUCUCGCUCUGCUGUGAGUACCUUGAGGACAGAGUUCCCUUUGAACCCACGCGAGCACAGAGUAGGCAUUCGGCUGGAUCUCAGCUGACUGGAGCAAGAGAGACUCUCCUGCUUGCCUUGAAGAAGCCACCUGCUAUGAUACCACCUUUAGGGCCAGCGGUCUCACGUCCUAUAGGUGCAAGGAGCUGAAAUCUGCCAACAACCUGAAUGAGCUUGGAAGCAGAUCUUUCCCCAGUAAAACUUCUGAUGAGGCCUUAGCCCCAGGAAGUAUCUGGAUUGCAGCCUGGUUGUGACCCUAAGCAGAAAACCGAGUGUCCAAGUUAUGAGAGAGCCACAUGUCUAGGAACUGAGGGCAGCCUUUAAGAGUUGAGAGCCAGCAAGAAAACGAUAACUCCAGUCAUCCAACCACAAGGAACCAAUUCUGCUAAGGAACCUGAAUGAGCCUGGAAGGGGACCCCAAACCUCAGAUGAGAUCACAUCCCUGCAGACACCUUGAUUCCAGGGCUUCCCUGGUGGCGCAGUAGUUAAGAAUCCGCCUGCCAGUGCAGGGGGCACAGGUUCGAGCCCUGGUCCCGGAAGAUCCCACAUGCCGCGGAGCAACUAAGCCCGUGCACCACAACUACUGAGCCUGCGCUCUAGAGCCCUCAAGCCACAACUAUUGAAGCCUGCGUGCCUAGAGCCUGUGGUCUGCAACAGGAGAAACCACCGCAAUGAGAAGCCUGCACACCGCAAUGAAGAGUAGCCCCCGCUCACUGCAACUAGAGAAAGCCCACACACAGCAACGAAGACCCAAUGCAGCCAAAAAUAAAUAAAUAAAAUAAAUUUAUUAAACAAAUUUUAUAUACUCUUCUGUAUCUGGCUUCUUUCAUUUUACAGAAUGUUUUGAGGUUCGUCCAUAUUGAUACAUGUAUCAGUAAUUUGUUCCUUUUUACUGCUGUCUUAUUUUGCAUUCUAUGGUUAUACUGCAGUUUGUUUCACAUGUUGGACAUUUGGGUCAUUUCCAGUUAUCAUUAAUAAAGUUGCCAAUAGCAACCAUGCAUAAGUCUUUUUGUGGAUAUAGAUUUUAAUUUCUUUUGAGUAAAUUCCUAGGAGUGGAAUUACUGGGUCGUAUGGUAGGUGUAUUUUUUUUUUUUUUUUUUUUUUUUUUUUUUUUUGGCGGUACGCGGGCCUCUCACUGCUGUGGCCUCUCCCGUUGUGGAGCACAGGCUCCGGACACGCAGGCUCAGCGGCCAUGGCCCACGGGCCCAGCCGCUCCGCAACACGUGGGAUCCUCCCGGACCGGGGCACGAACCUGCGUCCCCUGCAUCGGCAGGUGGAUUCUCAACCACUGCACCACCAGG